GCCAUCGGGAUGUGGCUACUCUUUCAGAAGAAACUGGAUGAAUAUGGCGUUCACUGCCCCAUAUGAUGGCUGUUUUGUAGCCAGAAAUGUCUGUAUACAACUUAAACCAUUGGAACGGUCUCUCUGUAAAUUGACAUCUUUCCUAAUGCCCAUUGUGUUUUCAGGGGGAUACUUUCAUUCUGUCUUUAAACCUCUGGGGUUUACCUUUAAGAAUGUCAUGCCCAAAUUUGCCACAAAAACCUCCUUCCUUGACCUGUGACCCACACGGCAUGACUGUGAAACUUGAAAUGGUUGCCUCGACUAAGAACCUUACAGUAAAAGUCAAUGGUGAGUGGGAACCAUUAAUGAAGGUGGCUUCUCGCUGCGGGUUCAGUGUUUUGGAACACCUUGAAGCUGUCGAAAUAUCUGCCCCUUAUAGACCUUGUAUUCGGCCUGAGGAUGGGCUGUUCAACUUUGCAAUUGCUGCUGAUCAUGAAGUUAAACUCUCUUGUCCAUCUCGGUCUCCUGGGGACUAUGUUGACUCUCUACAUGUAGCACCAAAGCCUAAUAUCACUGCAACUUAUCCCCCUCCUGCAAAACACAUGGAAGACCCCAAACCCGCUAUUCAUGAUCCUAAGCCUAUACAACAUUCCAUACUUGAUCAAAUGGGCCUCCCUCUUUUUCCACUGCCACAAGUUCCUCAGAAUGUUUACUACCCAUAUUUCUAUCCACAAAAUGCUAAACCUCCCCAAUUACAAUCUCCAGAGACCGGCUCUUUUAGUCCAUCUAGACUUGAUGCUCAUCCUCCAGCUCCUCCAGUGAGUACACUUCCCCUGGUGCCCAAGCUGGAUUCAAGAGUUCCACCUCCCAGUUCAGAUCCUGUUCAUCCUGUUCAACAGCCCCAUUACACUCUUCAGAGUUUGUGGCCUUGGUACGCACAAGCUCUGAAACCUUCAAAGCCGGCUAUUAGUGAAAAACCUGUUUAUGCUGCUCCUCAACAUGUUGUUCCUGUGACCCCACCCCCAGCAAAACCUCUGAGCCCACACCUCCCCCUCCCAUUGAGUCCCGAAGCCAUUGGACCCAUUACUCCUAAACCGGCACAAACACCACCAGUCCCAUUUCCUGAACUCAACCUUUUGCCAAAUCAGCCUGCGUCAAUUGUUUGUCCCCCUACCCCCUGCCCCCCGGUCUGUCCUCCAUCCUAUUCCAGCUGCUGUCACAUUCAUUGCCAUCAGCACUACCACCACCACAAUCACUUUGGCCUUGCAGUUGGUGGUGCUGCUCAGUUUAUACAGUCCUCAAACACCAGGAACCAAACCAGCUUUCAGCAGCCUCUGAAUGUACCCCCAUUUGUGGCCCAAAUACAAUCCCCUGCAUCAACAUUGCUUCCAGUUUCCAAACCUCCUUCUCAACCUCCAGCACCGCAAUCAAUACAGAGCCGAAUCCAGCAACAGGCACCUUUCCAUACUUAUGGGAUAAAGGGACAAAUCUUUCCCUAUGACUCAAGUAAUUUUCUUUAUCCUGCUCAACCACCACCAGACACAUCACAUUUUCAACAUUCUUUAGUACCUCCAGUCAGACAGGAUCCUGUUCCUUGGCCAUCUUGGCAUCCACAUGGAUAUUCUUUACAUCCAAAGGGUAGUUCAGCAGGUGAUCUUCCUGGAGGACUUUUUGUACCUGGUUUAUCAAAGCCUUCCGAAGUGUCUGAACCUCACUUCCCAUAUGUUAACUCAGACUCUCCAGAAAAGCUGAACUUCAAAAUCCCUCAACCCAGCCUUCUGCAGGAGACUAAUCACCCCUAUGAGAAACAACCUGACUCUGCCCCUGAUCUACUGUCCUCUGUUUCUCAUGGGGCACCUCAAACAUUUGCAAAAUACUGGAGGAAUGUUUUAUCCUUACCAUAUCAGCAUGCUGGUCAUCCUAAUGCUCCAAAACAACUGCAACCAGCAAAUUCCCCUCAAGGUAACGUCUCGUUUUCUCUAAUGUAGCUACUGACAUCUGCUGUUUUUGUGUGUAAUAGCAAUUUCUUCUCUUUGGUCCUUGUAGGUUAUGUGGAAAACCCCUUCCACUUCUACAAUGCUGACGAACAAAAAUAACGGUGUUCAAAUAAAGUUUUGGGGUAAACAAAAAGUCA
rnacentral:lncRNA from 1 species